rnacentral:rRNA from 1 species
UGGGUGAUCUGCCCUGCACUUCGGGAUAAGCCUGGGAAACUGGGUCUAAUACCGGAUAUGACUGCGAAUCGCAUGGUUUGUGGUGGAAAGCUUUUGCGGUGUGGGAUGGGCCUGCGGCCUAUCAGCUUGUUGGUGGGGUGAUGGCCUACCAAGGCGACGACGGGUAGCCGGCCUGAGAGGGUGUCCGGCCACACUGGGACUGAGAUACGGUCCAGACUCCGUACGGGGAGGNA